GUGUCAGCAGCCGCGGUAAAACGUAGGAACCGAGCGUUAUCCGAAUUUACUGGGCGUAAAGCGUGUGUAGGCGGUUCGGUAAGUUGGAUGUGAAAUCUCCUGGCUCAACUAGGAGAGGUCGUUCAAUACUGUCGAACUUGAGGGUGGUAGAGGGAGGUGGAAUUCCCGGUGUAGUGGUGAAAUGCGUAGAUAUCGGGAGGAACACCAGUGGCGAAAGCGGCCUCCUGGACCAUUCCUGACGCUCAGACACGAAAGCUAGGGGAGCAAACGGGAUUAGAAACCCUAGUAGUCC
rnacentral:rRNA from 1 species